rnacentral:rRNA from 1 species
AUUGAACGCUGGCGGCAGGCUUAACACAUGCAAGUCGAGCGGUAACAGAGAGAAGCUUGCUUCUCUGCUGACGAGCGGCGGACGGGUGAGUAAUGCCUAGGAAUCCGCCUAGUAGUGGGGGAUAACUUGCCGAAAGGUAAGCUAAUGCCGCAUACGUCCUACGGGAGAAAGGAGGGGACCUUCGGGCCUUUCGCUUUUAGUUGAGCCUAGGUCGGAUUAGGUAGUUGGCGAGGUAAUGGCUCACCAAGACCGCGAUCCGUAACUGGUCUGAGAGGAUGAUCAGUCACACUGGAACUGAGACACGGUCCAGACUCCUACGGGAGGCAGCAGUGGGGAAAAUUGGACAAUGGGGGGAACCCUGAUCCAGCCAUGCCGCGUGUGUGAAGAAGGUCUUAGGAUUGUAAAGCACUUUAAGUUGGGAGGAAGAGCAGUUAACUAAUAUUUGACUGUUUUGACGUUACCGACAGAAUAAGCACCGGCUAACUUCGUGCCAGCCGCCGCCGUAA